rnacentral:rRNA from 1 species
UAGGGAAUCUUCGGCAAUGGGGGGAACCCUGACCGAGCAACGCCGCGUGAGUGAAGAAGGUUCUCGGAUCGUAAAGCUCUGUUUUUAAGGAAGAACGAGUGUGAGAAUGGAAAGUUCAUACUGUGACGGUACUUAACCAGAAAGGGACGGCUAACUACGUGCCAGCAGCCGCGGUAAUACGUAGGUCCCGAGCGUUGUCUUGAUUUAUUGGGCGUAAAGCGAGCGCAGGCGGUUAGAUCAGUCUGAAGUUAAAGGCGGUGGCUCAACCAAUGUAGGCUUUGGAAACUGUUUAACUUGAGUGCAGAAGGGGAGAGUGGAAUUCCAUGUGUAGCGGUGAAAUGCGUAGAUAUAUGGAGGAACACCGGUGGCGAAAGCGGCUCUCUGGUCUGUAACUGACGCUGAGGCUCGAAAGCGUGGGGAGCGAACAGG